CAUGUUGAAACCAGUUCUUGUCUGAUCACCAAAGUUAAGCAAUGUUGAGUCUGGUCAGUACCUAGAUUGGUGACCAUUUGGGAAUACUAGGUACUGUAA